GGGCUUGACAUCCCACGAACCUGUUGAAAGACAAGGUGCCUUCGGGCGAAGUGAGACAGGUGGUGCAUGGUUGUCGUCAGCUCGUGUCGUGAGAUGUUGGGUUAAGUCCCGCAACGAGCGCAACCCCUAUUUCCAGUUACCAGCGGGAGAGCCGGGGACUCUGGAAAGACUGCCCGCGUCAAGCUGGAGGAAGGCG
rnacentral:rRNA from 1 species